GUGUAAGAGGACCUGUAGGCUGAACAAAUAUGAUACAAAGGACAUUUUCAAGAAGCCGAAUUCAUACUCCUAACUCACUGCAAGACUUUAAAGAAGACCUGCUAAAGAGAUUGAUUAUGUCGCAACCAGCCCAUCUCCGAGUGAUACUUUCAGACCAUGAUGUCCAGAAAUCCCUGGAACAGUUGCAGAACUUCAUUAAGUUGUUCGAGAUACAUUUAGGAUUUCUGGGGAAUUCAUCAUCGGCAGGGAGCUCCCAGCCCUGCAGGACACCUACCACACACGAUGCCUCAGGAAAGGCUGCUAAAUGGACAUUGAUACACUAUCGCCACUUUCGCACUCGUCACUUUACACACUGUCACUUUCAACUUACUGUUUGCACUAGCACUAAUAUUGUAUCAGAAAUAUUGCACUACCUGUAACUCCCACACUGGAUUUGUCUGUAGGUUAGUAUAAGUUUACUAGGUUAGCAUAGAUUAUUAUAGGUUAGCAUAGAUUAUUAUAUGUUUAUUAUA
ensembl:lncRNA